CUCUCUUUGCAGGUUUAGCCGGUAGUAGCUGCCAGGGUCUGGUCAUGUGCUGAUCAGCUAACCUUGAUCUUGGGGAGUUUUCCUGCCCUCAAGUGAGCACCCUCUAGAAGAGGAAACAGUCUGCAGGGAUAAAGCCAUUGGUCACAGUCACAGAGCAAUUCGGCAGUUUCGAGAUUCAAUGGCAGUACCCGAGCUCACUCUCUUCCUCCCAAACCUGCGUAACUGCUCUCCUCUGCAAGUGGCACACCCAACUGAGCCAACGGCCGUGGCUGCGUUUCAACUGCAGCCUUUAAGCCAGCUGUCCAGUAUACGGCCACUCCCCGCCAAGAGGCUUUAUCCAGGAUGGGAACCAGGAAAGACUACCUAGGCUCAGCUGGGCUCCGAGAAUCUGUGGCCUCUUGCCAGAAGGAAGACGGGGAAACAGAGGUAAAAUCCAGAGCAUGUGUGCUAAAUCCCGGAACUUUCCAGACUGUCCAGGAUGUGGGAACAAGCUGAGGUAAGGAAAAAGCUGACAGGUAGGGUCACGGUGGCUGGCUAAGGGUCUUGGUACAAAUUCCUGGUACUGUGCCUAAUCCUAGGACCUCUGCUGAUUAAGGGAUGUCAUCCCGUGUUCCCCCUAGCUCCCUGCCAAUGACCUGGGGUUGAGGGGAGUACUAGUAACUGCUGUUUAACAACUUCCCUGGAGAGAGACAUGAUACACUCUCCAUCCCCCUCACACCGAAAGGUGAGGGCUCCCCAUAUUACGAAAGGGGAAACUGAGGCUAAGGGCACAAGACAGCAGUUAAAGCCAUUCUCUCUGAGCCUCUAUUUUCACCUCUGUAAAAACGCUCCCCCAGGCCCCCACCUCUACUCCUGCUUCAUGGCACAGUCAAGGGGUUAAGAGGCACUAGUAAAACGGUAAGCAGAGCACCGAUAAUUGCUAGCUCUUGAGAGCAGGGCUCAGGGAGUCUGGGUAAUUCACCCAAGUCUAGAAGUGGCUGUCUCCAGGCCCAUCUCUGGGCAUAACCCUCUGACACGUGCCGUUAGGCGAGGAAGCUGUAGGUAUUACAGGCUUCACAGGCAGCAGACUGCAGCCACCCCCACCAGAAAGGUCUAAAUUCUUCAGAUAAGCAGCUCUAAGCAGAACAGGAGGACGGUGCAUAGAACAGACACCUCACUCUAUCCAUGCAGCUUCUCUUCUCCCAGCAGAUUCACCCAACAGGUCUCCGAACAGGCCAAGUCUGGUGGGCUAUUGCUCAGGCAAAGUCCCCAGUAACCAUUUCCUUCCUCUUUCGGGGCCCAUUAUCCUGACCAGGACUCCCAUUCCCCAGGCCAGGACUGUGUGACCCCAGUGAGCUCAAUCUGCAAAGGCUAGACUGAGAACUCGGAUCUCACUCCGCAGUACCUGGAGAGCUGGACCUACCAGGACCGUGAGAGACACAAAACCUAACUGGAGGGCUUCUUUCAGCCAGGAAGGUAGUCUCCUGGCAAGGACAUUUGCAAUGCAAAGCAGUCCAGCUUCAGCCAGAGGAGGGCAGUCACUCAGAGGGGGCUGGGCAACCCCAAAUCCAGCCUCAAUCAGAUUCAGGGAGUGCCUGGGACUGGGUUUCCAAGCCAAGGGGAGAGUGCCAGAAAACCUGUGGCUGGCCCAGGCUCUCAAUCAUAUGACAGCCACAGGGGCCAGCUUGGUGGCAAGGCGGCCCGGGACACCCCUACUUACUCAAGGUGCAAAUUUCAUUCAGCUCUUUCCAUGCAAGUUUGCAAAACGGGUGACUUGGAGAAUGCAUGCAGGGCCCUAAAAGGUUUCGGGCUGGUAACCUGCAGACAAGUGCCUGUCUGGCACAUUGCCAGCUCACUCGGCCCGGAGUCCUGCCUAGAGCAAAUCUUCCCAAAGACAACGUACAACGCCCGGAAGCCUCUUGCCCGACCCCACCUGAGGCUUCCACACUUACCAAGAUCUCACUCACCAGCACCCCCCACACACACACACACACCUUCCCCUGCAAAAACGAAAGCCUCAAUGCCUACCUGGACGACAAACUGACAAAAUCCCCGCCAUCCAGCAGCCGGACUUUGCAAAAGAGGACCCCGUUCACGAAGGGGACCGCAGUCAGCUCCUCCAGGGUGAAAGUGGUUUGAAAUUUGAAUUUCUU